rnacentral:rRNA from 1 species
AAGCUCGUAGUUGAAUUUCGGGGUUAGUAGGUUGGUCAUGCCUCUGGUAUGUACUGGUCUCACUGAUUCCUCCUUCCUUAUGAACCGUAAUGCCAUUAAUUUGGUGUUGCGGGGAAUUUGGACUGUUACUUUGAAAAAAUUAGAGUGUUUAAAGCAAGCUAACGCUUGAAUACAUUAGCAUGGAAUAAUGAAAUAGGACGUUCGAUCUUAUUUUGUUGGUUUCUAGGGUUGACGUAAUGAUUAAUAGGGAUAGUUGGG